rnacentral:rRNA from 1 species
UGCUGCUUUGCUGACGAGUGGCGUACGGGUGAGUAAUGUCUGGGAAACUGCCUGAUGGAGGGGGAUAACUACUGGAAACGGUAGCUAAUACCGCAUAACAGUUUAUGCCGCAUGGCAUAAGAGUGAAAGGCGCUUUCGGGUGUCGCUGAUGGAUGGACCCGCGGUGCAUUAGCUAGUUGGUGAGGUAACGGCUCACCAAGGCCACGAUGCAUAGCCGACCUGAGAGGGUGAUCGGCCACACUGGGACUGAGACACGGCCCAGACUCCUACGGGAGGCAGCAGUAGGGAAUCUUCGGCAAUGGACGAAAGUCUGACCGAGCAACGCCGCGUGAGUGAAGAAGGUUUUCGGAUCGUAAAACUCUGUUGUUAGAGAAGAACAAGGACGUUAGUAACUGAACGUCCCCUGACGGUAUCUAACCAGAAAGCCACGGCUAACUACGUGCCAGCAGCCGCGGUAAUACGUAGGUGGCAAGCGUUGUCCGGAUUUAUUGGGCGUAAAGCGAGCGCAGGCGGUUUCUUAAGUCUGAUGUGAAAGCCCCCGGCUCAACCGGGGAGGGUCAUUGGAAACUGGGAGACUUGAGUGCAGAAGAGGAGAGUGGAAUUCCAUGUGUAGCGGUGAAAUGCGUAGAUAUAUGGAGGAACACCAGUGGCGAAGGCGGCUCUCUGGUCUGUAACUGACGCUGAGGCUCGAAAGCGUGGG